rnacentral:rRNA from 1 species
GACGAACGCUGGCGGCGUGCCUAAUACAUGCAAGUAGAACGCUGAAGGAGGAGCUUGCUUCUCUGGAUGAGUUGCGAACGGGUGAGUAACGCGUAGGUAACCUGCCUGGUAGCGGGGGAUAACUAUUGGAAACGAUAGCUAAUACCGCAUAAUAGCAGUUGUUGCAUGACAACUGUUUGAAAGGUGCAAUUGCACCACUACCAGAUGGACCUGCGUUGUAUUAGCUAGCUGGUGGGGUAACGGCUCACCAAGGCGACGAUACAUAGCCGACCUGAGAGGGUGAUCGGCCACACUGGGACUGAGACACGGCCCAGACUCCUACGGGAGGCAGCAGUAGGGAAUCUUCGGCAAUGGACGGAAGUCUGACCGAGCAACGCCGCGUGAGUGAAGAAGGGUGUCGGAUCGUAAAGCUCUGUUGUAAGAGAAGAACGAGUGUGAGAGUGGAAAGUUCACACUGUGACGGUAUCUUACCAGAAAGGGACGGCUAACUACGUG